AUGUCGUCCUCCUCUGGUGCCUCCCAGGCUAGCCUCAACGGCCAAGUCACGGAGAGGCUCUCCCGCACCAACUACGUCCUCUGGCACGCACAGAUCACGCCGCAGCUGAGGGGCACGGGCGUCUUCGGCUACGUCGACGGCGCUAUACCGGAGCCGGCCAGGAUCCUCUCCACAAGGACAAAGAUGGGAAGGAAUCGACUGCGACAAACCCUCUCCACGCCAUCUGGGUGCGAGAGGACCAGCAGGUGCUCGGGUACCUGCUGA
rnacentral:rRNA from 1 species